rnacentral:rRNA from 1 species
AUUGAACGCUGGCGGCAGGCCUAACACAUGCAAGUCGAACGGUAGCACAGAGAGCUUGCUCUCGGGUGACGAGUGGCGGACGGGUGAGUAACGUCUGGGAAACUGCCCGAUGGAGGGGGAUAACUACUGGAAACGGUAGCUAAUACCGCAUAACGUCGCAAGACCAAAGUGGGGGAUCUUCGGGCCUCACACCAUCGGAUGUGCCCAGAUGGGAUUAGCUAGUAGGUGGGGUAAUGGCUCACCUAGGCGACGAUCCCUAGCUGGUCUGAGCGGAUGACCCGCCACACGGGAACUGGGGCACGGUCCAGGCUCCUACGGGAGGCAGCAGUGGGGAAUAUUGCACAAUGGGCGCAAGCCUGAUGCAGCCAUGCCGCGUGUAUGAAGAAGGCCUUCGGGUUGUAAAGUACUUUCAGCGGGGAGGAAGGCGGUGAAGUUAAUAACUUCACCGAUUGACGUUACCCGCAGAAGAAGCACCGGCUAACUCCGUGCCAGCCGCCGCGGUAA